rfam:Brachypodium distachyon strain Bd21 chromosome 1, whole genome shotgun sequence.
AAAGUACUCCCUCCGUUCCAUAAUUCUUGUCAAAAUAUUAGAUGUAUCUAGACGUUUUUUAGGAAUAGAUACAUGCAUAUUUGGAAAAGUUUGAGACAAGAAUUAUGGGAUGGAGGGAAUACUAA